ensembl:misc_RNA Y_RNA Y RNA
GGCUGGUCUGAGUGUAGUGGUGUUUACAACUAAUUGAUCACAACCAGUUACAGAUUUCUUUGUUCCUUCUCCACUUCCACUGCUUCAAUUGAUUAGCCUUAA